GAUGAACGCUGGCGGCGUGCCUAAUACAUGCAAGUCGAGCGAACAGACGAGGAGCUUGCUCCUCUGACGUUAGCGGCGGACGGGUGAGUAACACGUGGAUAACCUACCUAUAAGACUGGGAUAACUUCGGGAAACCGGAGCUAAUACCGGAUAAUAUAUUGAACCGCAUGGUUCAAUAGUGAAAGACGGUUUUGCUGUCACUUAUAGAUGGAUCCGCGCCGCAUUAGCUAGUUGGUAAGGUAACGGCUUACCAAGGCAACGAUGCGUAGCCGACCUGAGAGGGUGAUCGGCCACACUGGAACUGAGACACGGUCCAGACUCCUACGGGAGGCAGCAGUAGGGAAUCUUCCGCAAGGGGCGAAAGCCUGACGGAGCAACGCCGCGUGAGUGAUGAAGGUCUUCGGAUCGUAAAACUCUGUUAUUAGGGAAGAAAAAAUGUGUAAGUAACUAUGCACGUCUUGACGGUACCUAAUCAGAAAGCCACGGCUAACUACG
rnacentral:rRNA from 1 species